rnacentral:lncRNA from 1 species
CAUAUUUUAAAUAUGAUAUAAAUUGUUAUAAUAGCUAUUCAUUCACGGAAGUGAAAACAAUUGUUUAAGAUGUUUUAAGUAUUUACAUCAUCAGGUUCUUUACUUUAUAAGUAUUUACUUCAAGGUCAAGUAUGAAAAGUUUUACUUAAUGUACUACAAGGACGCAAUUUCACCUUCAAUAACGCCACUAUUUGUCCACCCA